rnacentral:rRNA from 1 species
GACGAACGCUGGCGGCGUGCUUAACACAUGCAAGUCGAACGAAGAGCGAUGGAAGCUUGCUUCUAUCAAUCUUAGUGGCGAACGGGUGAGUAACGCGUAAUCAACCUGCCCUUCAGAGGGGGACAACAGUUGGAAACGACUGCUAAUACCGCAUACGAUCUAAUCUCGGCAUCGAGGAUAGAUGAAAGGUGGCCUCUACAUGUAAGCUAUCACUGAAGGAGGGGAUUGCGUCUGAUUAGCUAGUUGGAGGGGUAACGGCCCACCAAGGCGAUGAUCAGUAGCCCGGCUGCGAGGAUGAACGGCCACAUUGGGACUGAGACACGGCCCAGACUCCUACCGGAGGCAGCCGUGGGGAAUCUUCCGCAAUGGACGAAAGUCUGACGGAGCAACGCCGCGUGAGUGAUGACGGCCUUCGGGUUGUAAAGCUCUGUUAAUCGGGACGAAAGGCCUUCUUGCGAAUAGUGAGAAGGAUUGACGGUACCGGAAUAGAAAGCCACGGCUAACUACGUG